UUCUAAAUCUUCUGGAUCCUCAGAAUAUAAAGAAAUCCUUAUCAGGAAAUAAACACAUCUAAAUAGCAAAAUAUUUAGUUUCAGAAAUAUAGCCAAUUUGAUGUGUCCAAAAUUUUUCUAUCUUAUCCUAUCUAUCUAUCUGUCCAUCUAUGUAUCUGUUCUAUCCAUUGAUCCAUCCAUCCAUCUCUCUCAACAGUUUCUAAGCCACGAUAUCUCAAUAGCAGUACUUUGAAAUAAUCAAUGAAACGAUAACAUCUAAAACCCGUUCUCUACUGAACUUCUUUCCUGCAACCUACAGCUGCCAAGCAAGUCAUUCAAGAGCUGCAGUCAUUUGAAAGGCUCGCAGGUUCAGCUCCUAUUUCAAGGACCUUUCCAUGUUGACAGUACUUUGUUACCUGAACUGCAAGGUACCUUUGCCCUAAAGUUAGCAGAUUUCUUCUGAACUCACAACCAGCCACGAUAAGACAGUACUGCUAAUGCCUUACUCUGAUGUUAUUAAAAACUCUAAUUCGUAGUUUGGAUAACCUGGCC
rnacentral:lncRNA from 1 species